GAGGCGAGGGCAGCAUGUGGCCUCUACCUGAACCAUCUGAGGGGGACACAGGAGCGAGGCGGGGGCUGGUGGAGCAGGGGGCUGGAGAGGGCUGGGGGCUCCAGGUACCGCGGUCAGAAGCCUCGUGUCAUCCUUGACUUGACUCCUUUCUCGCUCUCUCUCCACUCACAUCCAAACCUGGGACUUCUGCCCACCUCCGCGGCCCCGCCGGGUCCAGCCCAGCGUCGCCCUCCUGCCCCUGCUGUCGCGUCCGGCCUGGUCCCAGGCUCCUGGUCUCGCCUUGCGGUCUCUUCCCCCCUCGGCCCCCAGGGGGCGCAGGAGCCACAUGAGAGGAGAGGAGAUUGCAAUUUCUGCCGGAACUUUCUCACAUCCCCGCGUCUGGGGCAAGAAAGUGGCGGAGAGCUGGGGAGGAGCAGGAUGGAGGAGCCUGGGAGAGAGAACACAGGAGGAAAGACAGAGGCUGAAGAGGGAAGGAGCAGGUGGGGGAGUGAGCAGGAGGCAAGGACAAGAGUCACACGAAAAACGAGGGGUGGCAGCCGAGAAAGGCUGGAGGGGCCCCAGGGGGUCUGGAUGCCAGACCUCAGCCAGGGGCUCCUGCAGGGGCUGUACCUCUUCCGGAGCCCCUUCACCCACCCACAGAGUCCGACUGUAAUUGUCCAGCAAGGGCGGCUGGGUGGCUCGGUCGGUUAAGCGACUGACUCUCGGUUUCUGCUCAGGUCCCGAUCUCACGGCUCAUGGGAUCAAGCCCCGCCUUGGGCUCUGUGCUGACAGUGCGGAGCUGCUUGGGAUCCUCUCUCUCCACCGCCUCCCCCCACCCUGUUCCUCCCCUGCUCACUCUCUCAAGA
rnacentral:lncRNA from 1 species